rnacentral:rRNA from 1 species
UACGGGGGGUGCGAGCGUUGUCCGGAAUCACUGGGCGUAAAGGGCGCGUAGGUGGCGUGAUAAGGGUGUGGUGAAAGCCCGGGGCUCAACCCCGGGUCUGCCAUGCCGACUGUCAGGGUAGAGUACUGUAGGGGCAGGCGGAAUUCCGGGUGUAGCGGUGGAAUGCGUAGAGAUCCGGAGGAAGACCGGUGGCGAAGGCGGCCUGCUGGGCAGUUACUGACACUGAGGCGCGACAGCGUGGGGAGCAAACAGG